AGACCCGAAACCCGGUGAUCUAGCCAUGGGCAGGUUGAAGGUUGGGUAACACUAACUGGAGGACCGAACCGACUAAUGUUGAAAAAUUAGCGGAUGACCUGUGGCUGGGGGUGAAAGGCCAAUCAAACCGGGAGAUAGCUGGUUCUCCCCGAAAGCUAUUUAGGUAGCGCCUCGUGAAUUCAUCUCCGGGGGUAGAGCACUGUUUCGGCUAGGGGGCCAUCCCGGCUUACCAACCCGAUGCAAACUGCGAAUACCGGAGAAUGUUAUCACGGGAGACACACGGCGGGUGCUAACGUCCGUCGUGAAGAGGGAAACAACCCAGACCGCCAGCUAAGGUCCCAAAGUCAUGGUUAAGUGGGAAACGAUGUGGGAAGGCCCAGACAGCCAGGAUGUUGGCUUAGAAGCAGCCAUCAUUUAAAGAAAGCGUAAUAGCUCACUGGUCGAGUCGGCCUGCGCGGAAGAUGUAACGGGGCUAAACCAUGCACCGAAGCUGCGGCAGCGACACUGUGUGUUGUUGGGUAGGGGAGCGUUCUGUAAGCCUGCGAAGGUGGCCUGUGAGGGUUGCUGGAGGUAUCAGAAGUGCGAAUGCUGACAUAAGUAACGAUAAAGCGGGUGAAAAGCCCGCUCGCCGGAAGACCAAGGGUUCCUGUCCAACGUUAAUCGGGGCAGGGUGAGUCGACCCCUAAGGCGAGGCCGAAAGGCGUAGUCGAUGGGAAACGGGUUAAUAUUCCCGUACUUGGUGUUACUGCGAAGGGGGGACGGAGAAGGCUAUGUUGGCCGGGCGACGGUUGUCCCGGUUUAAGCGUGUAGGUGUGUGUUCCAGGUAAAUCCGGUUCA
rnacentral:rRNA from 1 species